GGAUUGUGGCUCAGCGGUAGAGCACUUGCCUAGCAUGUGCAAGGCCCUGGGUUCGAUCCUCAGCACCA
rnacentral:tRNA from 1 species